rnacentral:tRNA from 1 species
GUUACUGUAGUUUAAAUAAAACAUUGAAUUGUGGUUUCAAAAAUGCUUUACAGCCAGUAACC